rnacentral:rRNA from 1 species
UUAAGCGACUAAGCGUACACGGUGGAUGCCCUGGCAGUCAGAGGCGAUGAAGGACGUGCUAAUCUGCGAUAAGCGUCGGUGAGGUGAUAUGAACCGUUAUAACCGGCGAUUUCCGAAUGGGGAAACCCAGUGUGAUUCGUCACACUAUCAUUAACUGAAUCCAUAGGUUAAUGAGGCGAACCGGGGGAACUGAAACAUCUAAGUACCCCGAGGAAAAGAAAUCAACCGAGAUUCCCCCAGUAGCGGCGAGCGAACGGGGAGGAGCCCAGAGCCUGAAUCAGUGUGUGUGUUAGUGGAAGCGUCUGGAAAGGCGCGCGAUACAGGGUGACAGCCCCGUACACAAAAAUGCACAUAUUGUGAGCUCGAUGAGUAGGGCGGGACACGUGGUAUCCUGUCUGAAUAUGGGGGGACCAUCCUCCAAGGCUAAAUACUCCUGACUGACCGAUAGUGAACCAGUACCGUGAGGGAAAGGCGAAAAGAACCCCGGCGAGGGGAGUGAAAAAGAACCUGAAACCGUGUACGUACAAGCAGUGGGAGCCUCUUAAUGGGGUGACUGCGUACCUUUUGUAUAAUGGGUCAGCGACUUAUAUUCUGUAGCAAGGUUAACCGAAUAGGGGAGCCGAAGGGAAACCGAGUCUUAACUGGGCGUUAAGUUGCAGGGUAUAGACCCGAAACCCGGUGAUCUAGCCAUGGGCAGGUUGAAGGUUGGGUAACACUAACUGGAGGACCGAACCGACUAAUGUUGAAAAAUUAGCGGAUGACUUGUGGCUGGGGGUGAAAGGCCAAUCAAACCGGGAGAUAGCUGGUUCUCCCCGAAAGCUAUUUAGGUAGCGCCUCGUGAAUUCAUCUCCGGGGGUAGAGCACUGUUUCGGCAAGGGGGUCAUCCCGACUUACCAACCCGAUGCAAACUGCGAAUACCGGAGAAUGUUAUCACGGGAGACACACGGCGGGUGCUAACGUCCGUCGUGAAGAGGGAAACAACCCAGACCGCCAGCUAAGGUCCCAAAGUCAUGGUUAAGUGGGAAACGAUGUGGGAAGGCCCAGACAGCCAGGAUGUUGGCUUAGAAGCAGCCAUCAUUUAAAGAAAGCGUAAUAGCUCACUGGUCGAGUCGGCCUGCGCGGAAGAUGUAACGGGGCUAAACCAUGCACCGAAGCUGCGGCAGCGACACUAUGUGUUGUUGGGUAGGGGAGCGUUCUGUAAGCCUGUGAAGGUGGCCUGUGAGGGUUGCUGGAGGUAUCAGAAGUGCGAAUGCUGACAUAAGUAACGAUAAAGCGGGUGAAAAGCCCGCUCGCCGGAAGACCAAGGGUUCCUGUCCAACGUUAAUCGGGGCAGGGUGAGUCGACCCCUAAGGCGAGGCCGAAAGGCGUAGUCGAUGGGAAACAGGUUAAUAUUCCUGUACUUGGUGUUACUGCGAAGGGGGGACGGAGAAGGCUAUGUUGGCCGGGCGACGGUUGUCCCGGUUUAAGCGUGUAGGCUGGUUUUCCAGGCAAAUCCGGAAAACCAAGGCUGAGGCGUGAUGACGAGGCACUACGGUGCUGAAGCGACAAAUGCCCUGCUUCCAGGAAAAGCCUCUAAGCAUCAGGUAACAUCAAAUCGUACCCCAAACCGACACAGGUGGUCAGGUAGAGAAUACCAAGGCGCUUGAGAGAACUCGGGUGAAGGAACUAGGCAAAAUGGUGCCGUAACUUCGGGAGAAGGCACGCUGAUAUGUAGGUGAAGCGACUUGCUCGUGGAGCUGAAAUCAGUCGAAGAUACCAGCUGGCUGCAACUGUUUAUUAAAAACACAGCACUGUGCAAACACGAAAGUGGACGUAUACGGUGUGACGCCUGCCCGGUGCCGGAAGGUUAAUUGAUGGGGUUAGCGGUAACGCGAAGCUCUUGAUCGAAGCCCCGGUAAACGGCGGCCGUAAACAUAACGGUCCUAAGGUAGCGAAAUUCCUUGUCGGGUAAGUUCCGACCUGCACGAAUGGCGUAAUGAUGGCCAGGCUGUCUCCACCCGAGACUCAGUGAAAUUGAACUCGCUGUGAAGAUGCAGUGUACCCGCGGCAAGACGGAAAGACCCCGUGAACCUUUACUAUAGCUUGACACUGAACAUUGAGCCUUGAUGUGUAGGAUAGGUGGGAGGCUUUGAAGUGUGGACGCCAGUCUGCAUGGAGCCGACCUUGAAAUACCACCCUUUAAUGUUUGAUGUUCUAACGUUGGCCCGUAAUCCGGGUUGCGGACAGUGUCUGGUGGGUAGUUUGACUGGGGCGGUCUCCUCCUAAAGAGUAACGGAGGAGCACGAAGGUUGGCUAAUCCUGGUCGGACAUCAGGAGGUUAGUGCAAUGGCAUAAGCCAGCUUGACUGCGAGCGUGACGGCGCGAGCAGGUGCGAAAGCAGGUCAUAGUGAUCCGGUGGUUCUGAAUGGAAGGGCCAUCGCUCAACGGAUAAAAGGUACUCCGGGGAUAACAGGCUGAUACCGCCCAAGAGUUCAUAUCGACGGCGGUGUUUGGCACCUCGAUGUCGGCUCAUCACAUCCUGGGGCUGAAGUAGGUCCCAAGGGUAUGGCUGUUCGCCAUUUAAAGUGGUACGCGAGCUGGGUUUAGAACGUCGUGAGACAGUUCGGUCCCUAUCUGCCGUGGGCGCUGGAGAACUGAGGGGGGCUGCUCCUAGUACGAGAGGACCGGAGUGGACGCAUCACUGGUGUUCGGGUUGUCAUGCCAAUGGCACUGCCCGGUAGCUAAAUGCGGAAGAGAUAAGUGCUGAAAGCAUCUAAGCACGAAACUUGCCCCGAGAUGAGUUCUCCCUGAGACUUAGAGUCUCCUGAAGGAACGUUGAAGACGACGACGUUGAUAGGCCGGGUGUGUAAGCGCAGCGAUGCGUUGAGCUAACCGGUACUAAUGAACCGUGAGGCUUAACCUU